ACGCUCGACACCUACGGGGCAGCAGUGGGGAAUAUUGGGCAAUGGGCGAAAGCCUGACCCAGCAACGCCGCGUGAGGGAAGAAGGUUUUCGGAUUGUAAACCUCUGUCCUCAGGGACGAAGGGCGUGACGGUACCUGAGGAGGAAGCCCCGGCUAACUACGUGCCAACAGCCGCGGUAAUCUGAGCGGGCUGGCAAGGC
rnacentral:rRNA from 1 species